rnacentral:rRNA from 1 species
UACGUAGGUGACAAGCGUUGUCCGGAUUUACUGGGCGUAAAGAGCGCGCAGGCGGUCGUUCAAGUCGAGUGUGAAAGCCCCCGGCUCAACUGGGGAGGGUCACUCGAUACUGAUCGACUCGAAGGCAGGAGAGGGAAGUGGAAUUCCCGGUGUAGUGGUGAAAUGCGUAGAUAUCAGGAGGAACACCGGUGGCGAAGGCGGGUCUCUGGGCCGAUACUGACGCUGAAACGCGAAAGCUAGGGGAGCGAACGGG